rnacentral:rRNA from 1 species
UAUCGCUUUUAGAUGGACCCGCGGCGUAUUAACUAGUUGGUGGGGUAAUGGCCUACCAAGGUAAUGAUACGUAGCCGAACUGAGAGGUUGAUCGGCCACAUUGGGACUGAGACACGGCCCAAACUCCUACGGGAGGCAGCAGUAGGGAAUCUUCCACAAUGGACGCAAGUCUGAUGGAGCAACGCCGCGUGAGUGAAGAAGGUCUUCGGAUCGUAAAACUCUGUUGUUAGAGAAGAACACGAGUGAGAGUAACUGUUCAUUCGAUGACGGUAUCUAACCAGCAAGUCACGGCUAACUACGUGCCAGCAGCCGCGGUAAUACGUAGGUGGCAAGCGUUGUCCGGAUUUAUUGGGCGUAAAGGGAACGCAGGCGGUCUUUUAAGUCUGAUGUGAAAGCCUUCGGCUUAACCGGAGUAGUGCAUUGGAAACUGGAAGACUUGAGUGCAGAAGAGGAGAGUGGAACUCCAUGUGUAGCGGUGAAAUGCGUAGAUAUAUGGAAGAACACCAGUGGCGAAAGCGGCUCUCUGGUCUGUAACUGACGCUGAGGUUCGAAAGCGUGGGUAGCAAACAGGAUUAGAUACCCUGGUAGUCCACGCCGUAAACGAUGA